UGCGUAGGCGGCUUAUUAAGUCGGAUGUGAAAUCCCCGAGCUUAACUUGGGAAUUGCAUUCGAUACUGGUGAGCUAGAGUAUGGGAGAGGAUGGUAGAAUUCCAGGUGUAGCGGUGAAAUGCGUAGAGAUCUGGAGGAAUACCGAUGGCGAAGGCAGCCAUCUGGCCUAAUACUGACGCUGAGGUACGAAAGCAUGGGGAGCAAACA
rnacentral:rRNA from 1 species